GCAGCAGUGGGGAAUAUUGCGCAAUGGGGGAAACCCUGACGCAGCAAUGCCGCGUGAGUGAGGAAGGCCUUCGGGUUGUAAAGCUCUGUCAGAUGGGAAGAACAGCAGUUGGUCCAAUAGGCCAUCUGUUUGACGGUACCUUCAAAGGAAGCACCGGCUAACUUCGUGCCAGCAGCCGCGGUAAUACGAAGGGUGCAAGCGUUGUUCGGAUUUACUGGGCGUAAAGCGCGCGCAGGCGGAUUGAUAAGUCAGAUGUGAAAUCUCGGGGCUCAACCCCGAAACUGCGUCUGAAACUGUUGAUCUAGAGUUAUGUAGGGGAGAAGGGAAUUUCGCAUGUAGGGGUAAAAUCCGUAGAGAUGCGAAGGAACACCAGAGCCGAAGGGGCUUCUCUGGGCAUACACUGACGCUGAGGCGCGAAAGCGUGGGUAGCAAACAGGAUUAGAUACCCUGGUAGUCCACGCCGUAAACGAUGAGUACUAGAUUUUGGGGCCUUUGACCGCUUCAGAGUCGCAGCUAACGCAUUAAGUACUCCGCUGGAC
rnacentral:rRNA from 1 species